rnacentral:misc_RNA from 1 species
GAUGAAGAACGUAGCGAAAUGCGAUACGUAAUGUGAAUUGCAGAAUUCAGUGAAUCAUCGAAUCUUUGAACGCAUAUUGCGCUCUCUGGUAUUCCGGAGAGCAUGCUUGUUUGAGUAUCAGUAAACACCUCAACUCUUUUUUCUUUUUUGAAAUUGGAGCUGGACUUGAGUGAUCCCAACGCUUUCUUCCAAGAAAGUGGCGGGUUGCUUGAAAUGCAGGUGCAGCUGAACUUUUCUCUGAGCUAUAAGCAUAUCUAUUUAGUCUGCCUAAAAAACAGAUUAUUACCUUUGCAGCUAACAUAAAGGAGACUAGUUCUUGUGCUGACUGAUGCAGGAUUCACAGAGACAGCUUCGGCUGACUUUGUAAACUCGAUCUCAAAUCAAGUAAGACUACCCGCUGAACUUAAGCAUAUCAAUAAGCGGAGGA